CAGUCGCCACGGGAAUACGAAGGGGGCUAGCGUUGCUCGGAAUGACUGGGCGUAAAGGGCGCGUAGGCGGCAUAUACAGUCAGGCGUGAAAUUCCCGGGCUUAACCUGGGGGCUGCGUUUGAUACGUAUGGGCUAGAGUGGGGAAGAGGGUCGUGGAAUUCCCAGUGUAGAGGUGAAAUUCGUAGAUAUUGGGAAGAACACCGGUGGCGAAGGCGGCGACCUGGUCCUUGACUGACGCUGAGGCGCGAAAGCGUGGGGAGCAAACAGGAUUAGAUACCCCUGUAGUCCCUGUCUCUUAUAC
rnacentral:rRNA from 1 species